AUUGGUAUAAGAGACAGGUAGUCAUAUGCUUGUCUCAAAGAUUAAGCCAUGCAUGUCUAAGUAUAAACUUUUAUACUGUGAAACUGCGAAUGGCUCAUUAAAUCAGUUAUCGUCUAUUUGAUUGUGCCCUUACUACAUGGAUAACCGUAGUAAUUCUAGAGCUAAUACAUGCGAAAAGUCCCGACUUCUGGAAGGGAUGUAUUUAUUAGAUUAAAAACCAAUGCGUUUAACGACGCUUUUCGGUGAUUCAUAAUAACUGUUCGAAUCGCAUGGCCCUCGUGCCGGCGAUGUUUCAUUCGAGUUUCUGCCCUAUCAACUUUCGAUGGUAAGGUAUUGGCUUACCAUGGUGACAACGGGUAACGGAGAAUUAGGGUUCGAUUCCGGAGAGGGAGCCCGAGAAACGGCUACCACAUCCAAGGAAGGCAGCAGGCGCGCAAAUUACCCAAUCCCGACUCGGGGAGGUAGUGACAAUAAAUAACGUUGCAGGCGCCAACGGCUUCUGCAGUCGGAAUGAGUACAAUAUAACACCCUUAACGAGGAACAAUUGGAGGGCAAGUCUGGUGCCAGCAGCCGCGGUAAUUCCAGCUCCAAUAGCGUAUAUUAAAGUUGUUGCAGUUAAAAAGCUCGUAGUUGGAUUUCGGAACCGGCCGAUUGGUCCGUCCUCUGGAUCGUGUACUGAUCGGUCUGUUCUUCUUCGCGAAGACCGCGUGUGCCCUUAACUGGGUGGGCGCGGGAUUCGCGACGUUUACUUUGAAAAAAUUAGAGUGUUCAAAGCAGGCAGUCGCUUGAAUAUCUCAGCAUGGAAUAAUAGAAUAGGACUUUGGUCUUAUUUUGUUGGUUUCCGAGACCGAAGUAAUGAUUAAUAGGGACAGUUGGGGGCAUUCGUAUUUCAUUGUCAGAGGUGAAAUUCUUGGAUUUAUGAAAGACGAACUUCUGCGAAAGCAUUUGCCAAGGAUGUUUUCAUUAAUCAAGAACGAAAGUUGGAGGCUCGAAGACGAUCAGAUACCGUCCUAGUUCCAACCAUAAACGAUGCCGUCUGCGGAUCGGAGGUCGCUCAUGUAAGGCUCCUUCGGCACGCUAUGAGAAAUCAAAGACUUUGAUUUCUCAUAGCGUGCCGAAGGAGCCUUA
rnacentral:rRNA from 1 species